rnacentral:rRNA from 1 species
UACGUAGGGUCCGAGCGUUGUCCGGAAUUAUUGGGCGUAAAGGGCUCGUAGGCGGUCUGUUGCGUCGGGAGUGAAAACUUACAGCUUAACUGUGAGCGUGCUUCCGAUACGGGCAGACUUGAGGUAUUCAGGGGAGAACGGAAUUCCUGGUGUAGCGGUGAAAUGCGCAGAUAUCAGGAGGAACACCGGUGGCGAAGGCGGUCUCUGGGAAUAUCCUGACGCUGAGGAGCGAAAGUGUGGGGAGCGAACAGG